UGAGGUCAUAAAGGCAGGGCUCUAACCCAAUAGGACUGGUGUUCUUAUAAGAAGAAGAAGGGACAUCAGAGAUCUCUCUCAGAGCACAGGGAGAAGAAACGCCAUGUGAGGACCCAGCAAGAAGGUGGCUGUCUGCAAGCAGAGAAGAGAGCACUCACCAGAAACAGAAUUUGCUGGCACUUGUAUCUUGGACUUCUGGCCUCUGGAAGUACUCUUGCUACUAUCUGCAUCGAUCUACACUGGGCUUGAGCAUGAACAUCCUGAGGGGCCACCCUGCUCUGAUGCCAGGCCCUGCAGGGGCUCCAUGACCAUGGGGCAUGAGUGAGUUCACAGCACUGAGAUGCACAUGAACAGGGCUUCAAACCCCAGCUCACCUCUGAUGCCCCUUGUGACAGCUCUUCACCUGACAAGAGGAUGUUGUCAUCUUCCUGACAUCCCCCAGCACCUGCAUAGUGAGAUGCAAAUCUACCUCAGGGCACUCAGAUGC